UUGGAGCUUGUGAACUUGGCAA
rnacentral:piRNA from 1 species